rnacentral:rRNA from 1 species
UACAGAGGGGGCAAGCGUUGUUCGGAAUUACUGGGCGUAAAGGGCGCGUAGGCGGCCUUCUAAGUCGAACGUGAAAUCCCCGGGCUCAACCCGGGAACUGCGUCCGAUACUGGAUGGCUUGAGUUUGGGAGAGGGACGCGGAAUUCCAGGUGUAGCGGUGAAAUGCGUAGAUAUCUGGAGGAACACCGGUGGCGAAGGCGGCGUCCUGGACCAACACUGACACUGAGGAGCGAAAGCCAGGGGAGCAAACGGG